UGGGCGUUUCUAAACUAUCCAAUGAAAGUGGGGAAUCUCAGUGUAGUAAUCAGUGGGUGUUUCCAAACCAGGAUGGGCGUUUCUAAACUAUCCAAUGAAAGUGGGGAAUCUCAGUGUAGUAAUCAGUGGGCGUUUCUAAACAGGGGUGGGCGUUUCUAAACAUCCAAUGGAAGAAUCUCAGUGUAGUAAUCAGUGGGCGUUUCCAAACCAGGGUGGGCGUUUCUAAACAUCCAAUGGAAGAAUCUCAGUGUAGUAAUCAGUGGGCGUUUCCAAACCAGGAUGGGCGUUUCUAAACUAUCCAAUGAAAGUGGGGAAUCUCAGUGUAGUAAUCAGUGGGUGUUUCCAAACCAGGAUGGGCGUUUCUAAACUAUCCAAUGAAAGUGGGGAAUCUCAGUGUAGUAAUCAGUGGGCGUUUCCAAACCAGGGUGGGCGUUUCUAAACUAUCCAAUGAAAGUGGGGAAUCUCAGUGUAGUAAUCAGUGGGCGUUUCCAAACCAGGAUGGGCGUUUCUAAACUAUCCAAUGAAAGUGGGGAAUCUCAGUGUAGUAAUCAGUGGGCGUUUCCAAACCAGGGUGGGCGUUUCUAAACAUCCAAUGGAAGAAUCUCAGUGUAGUAAUCAGUGGGCGUUUCCAAACCAGGAUGGGCGUUUCUAAACUAUCCAAUGAAAGUGGGGAAUCUCAGUGUAGUAAUCAGUGGGUGUUUCCAAACCAGGAUGGGCGUUUCUAAACUAUCCAAUGAAAGUGGGGAAUCUCAGUGUAGUAAUCAGUGGGCGUUUCCAAACCAGGGUGGGCGUUUCUAAACUAUCCAAUGAAAGUGGGGAAUCUCAGUGUAGUAAUCAGUGGGCGUUUCCAAACCAGGGUGGGCGUUUCUAAACUAUCCAAUGAAAGUGGGGAAUCUCAGUGUAGUAAUCAGUGGGCGUUUCCAAACCAGGGUGGGCGUUUCUAAACUAUCCAAUGAAAGUGGGGAAUCUCAGUGUAGUAAUCAGUGGGUGUUUCCAAACCAGGAUGGGCGUUUCUAAACUAUCUCAGUGUAGUAAUCAGUGGGUGUUUCCAAACCAGGAUGGGCGUUUCUAAACUAUCUCAGUGUAGUAAUCAGUGGGUGUUUCUAAACUAUCCAAUGAAAGUGGGGAAUCUCAGUGUAGUAGGCAAAUUAUGUAAAGCGGUUGAAAAACUGAUAAAUUGGGAAAACGCCCAUUUUUGUUCUGCAGACACACAAAUCUGGCCGUGUGUUCUUUUCUGAUAAUAUUAGAUGCAUGCAACAAAAAACAUAUUUUUGAAAUUAAAUCAACAUGACCAUAAUGUGAUGCAAAAACAAUCAUUUACCAUGAGACAGAAUAAGAAAACAAAAAAGUUGUAAUUGUAUAGAAAGCACUAAACUUUGUUACCACCUGGUGUAAUCCUAAUUUCAUUAAAGACACACACACACACACACACACACACACACACACACACACACACACACACACACACACACACACACACACACACACACACACACACACACA